CUGAGAGCCUUGGAGAUUGAAACCUUCUAUUUAUCCACAGAAUAGGUUCAGCAUGGACAACAUUAGUGUGAGCGUCCCUACUAAUGUGCCUCAAUGCUGUUCUUUACUGCCUCUCUGAGGUGAGAGGGCAGUUUAUUCCCCAUGCCCAUCCUUCGUCUCUCUGCU
ensembl:misc_RNA